GACGAACGCUGGCGGCGUGCUUAACACAUGCAAGUCGAGCGGUAAGGCCCUUUCGGGGGUACACGAGCGGCGAACGGGUGAGUAACACGUGGGUGGACCUGCCUCUAGCUCUGGGAGUAAGCCUGGGAAGGCUGGGUCUAAUACCGGAUAUGACCUCGCGGUGCAUGUUGCGGGGUGGAAAGCCUUGCGCGGCUAGGGAUGGGCCCGCGGCCUAUCAGCUUGUUGGUGGGGUGACGGCC
rnacentral:rRNA from 1 species